UACGGAGGAUCCAAGCGUUAUCCGGAUUUAUUGGGUUUAAAGGGUGCGUAGGUGGAUCUUUAAGUCAGUGGUGAAAGCCUAGAGCUUAACUCUAGAACUGCCAUUGAUACUGAAGAUCUUGAGUGCAGUUGAGGCGGGCGGAAUGUGUCAUGUAGCGGUGAAAUGCUUAGAUAUGACACAGAACACCGAUUGCGAAGGCAGCUCGCUAAACUGUAACUGACACUGAGGCACGAAAGCGUGGGGAGCAAACAGG
rnacentral:rRNA from 1 species